rnacentral:rRNA from 1 species
AGUGAACGCUGGCGGUAGGCCUAACACAUGCAAGUCGAACGGCAGCACAGUAAGAGCUUGCUCUUACGGGUGGCGAGUGGCGGACGGGUGAGGAAUACAUCGGAAUCUACUUUUUCGUGGGGGAUAACGUAGGGAAACUUACGCUAAUACCGCAUACGACCUACGGGUGAAAGCAGGGGAUCUUCGGACCUUGCGCGAUUGAAUGAGCCGAUGUCGGAUUAGCUAGUUGGCGGGGUAAAGGCCCACCAAGGCGACGAUCCGUAGCUGGUCUGAGAGGAUGAUCAGCAACACUGGAACUGAGACACGGUCCAGACUCCUACGGGAGGCAGCAGUGGGGAAUAUUGGACAAUGGGCGCAAGCCUGAUCCAGCCAUACCGCGUGGGUGAAGAAGGCCUUCGGGUUGUAAAGCCCUUUUGUUGGGAAAGAAAAGCAGCAGGUUAAUACCCCGCUGUUCUGACGGUACGCAAAGAAUAAGCACCGGCUAACUUCGUG